UUAUAUGAGCAGCACACAAGUGCACAGUUUUCAUUCACAAGAGGGGGGGAGGCCACACAAGUGGCUUCUCAAUAAUGAUCCUUCCGCAGGUUCACCUACGGAAA
rnacentral:misc_RNA from 1 species